rnacentral:rRNA from 1 species
UACGUAGGGUCCGAGCGUUGUCCGGAAUUACUGGGCGUAAAGAGCUCGUAGGUGGUUUGUCACGUUGUUCGUGAAAACCCACAGCUCAACUGUGGGCGUGCGAGCGAUACGGGCAGACUAGAGUACUGCAGGGGAGACUGGAAUUCCUGGUGUAGCGGUGGAAUGCGCAGAUAUCAGGAGGAACACCGGUGGCGAAGGCGGGUCUCUGGGCAGUAACUGACGCUGAGACGCGAAAGCGUGGGGAGCAAACAGG